UCUCCAGUAGUCCUACCCAAUGAUGAUGACACCCACCAAAUCAGGAAGCAUGUGGAGAUCCAAGAUGCAGACACAUCUGAUUAUAAAUGCUAUGUUCACCAUGGAACCAUGGUGCCAAUUGUGGGAAAAUGGGGUAAAGUAUUCUAGUGUUAGUAUCAAUGGCAGUAAAAUCUGAUGUUUCUUCGCUCUUACCGCAAUGAGGUUAUGAAUAUAGAUUAUAUUUCGGGUUAGCCAUCUAUAAAAAAUGUGACAUAAUAAUAUAAUCCCCAUUCAUCAGCAUUUAAUAUUCUUAGUUAAUUCAUUUGAAUAAUACACAUAAAUGAAGUGGUCGAUUGUUGAUGAAUUAUAUGCAAAUGAGAACUGUUUCAAACUCAAUUUAUAGGAUUUUAUAUGCUUUUAUAUGUUAAUGCUUAAUAUGUCCUCUUUUCUUCCAUGCAGAUGGAAAAUGCUGUGACUAGCCAUGUCACAGGUGGUGUCAUUGGUGCUGUUGUGGUCCUUCUGCUCAUAUUGAUCUUGGUUCCCUUGAUACUGUUUAUUUAGAAAAGGAUAAUAUGUAAGUUUCAUACAAUUAUUGUUUUAUAACAAUGUGUUUAUGUAAUUUGACACACUUAUUGAUAUUAUUGUAGAGAGAAGGCAUUCGUCUAAAACUUCUAUGCUCCUUCUUCCCCCAGCACUCCCGGCGCAGAACCUGCAAUUCCCCAAUAUCGACCACAAUUCUGCAACGUUCACCUGUGGGCCACCGCUCUUCAAGACCAACCUCUGCCGCUGUUAUGCCAUGACCAAUGGGGUAAAGACCCAUGAGAGACGGUCCCAGAGCAUCUCAACCUGAGGAGCAGUGAAGUCUCCACAGAGAGCUUUAGGGUCACCUGGGAACACUCAGGCCAAGACGUGCUCCUUUACAGACUGUUCUGGAUCCCAACCAGAGGGGGAGACACUAAAGAAGUCUGUAUGUCUGUCUGUCAGGUUUUCUGUCUGUAUGUUCAUCUUGGUCUGUUAGUUAACCUCUUCCAAGCCAGUCUGCUUACUGAAUCUCUCUCUCUCUCUUUUAUUUUCUCCCUCCCUCUCUCUCUGCAUAGGUGAAGAUGCAGAUGAAUGGUAACAUUCACACCUACAUUGAAUACAAGGAGGCAAGUUUGAAAGUGACACCAUGACCAUCAAAGUGUCAACAGGUAAACUACAGGAUAUAUAGCUAAUGUAACCGCUCUCAAAAGACUUUGUAAUUGCACUUUUGCACAUUGAGCAUAACAGGGUCAAUGUAGUUGAUUAUAGUUGAGUAUGUAUAGUAUAGUGAUACUAUUGGGUAACGUUUAGGUGGGAAAAGACUUGGGUUUACCAAAAAAUUAUACAAAAAAGACAGCAGAGUUUACAAAAAUAUUACAUGAGGAACAAUUUAGAAAUAAUUUGAAAUGGGAAUUUUUAUGUUUGUGCUUUUCUGAUAACUAAUUUCUGUGUUUGUGCAAGUGACUGAUUUAACGAAUCCUCACUUAUCAGUAUCUGCAAUUUGGCAGUACACCCAGACCUUGUUUUGAGAAAGAAAAAAAUAUAUCUCAGUUUCAAGGUCUCAGUUUAGAGAGAAGAAUUCUCGUGAGGUGUUGGUCUGCCACAUGUUAUGAACCAGUAUUGGUCGGUGACAUGAAUGAAACAAAACGGUAAUGAUUAAUUCUGCUAAAUCAUACAAAUAUAGCUUGUCUGUGUAUAGCUGUAUAUAAGACAACUGCUGGAACUGUCCAGGAAGAGCUUGUGAUUGACUUGUAUAUUAUUGUGCUGUCACACCCUGAUCUGUUUCACCUGUCUUUGUGCUUGUCUCCACCCCCACCAGGUGUCUCCCAUCUCCCCUCAUUAUCCCCUGUGUAUUUAUACCUGUGUUCUCUGUUUGUCUGUUGCCAGUUUGUUUUGUACUUCAAGCCUACCAGCGGUUUAUCCCUUGCGCCUGUCUUUUCUAUAGUUCCUGUUUUCCAAUUUUUCCGGUUUUGACCAUUCUGCCUGCCCUGACCCUGCCUGCCGUCCUGUACCUUGUCCCACCACACUGGAUUAUUGACCUCUGCCUGCCCUGACCCUGAGACUGUCUGCCGUUCUGUACCUUUUGGACUCUCUGGAUUACUGACCUUUGCCUGCCCUUGACCUGUCAUUUUGCCUAGCCCCUGUUCUAGUAAUAAAAUGUUGUUACUUCGACACUGUCUGCAUCUGGGUCUUCCCUAAUAGUGGUAGGUGCAUUGAGUUGGUUGGAACCUCUCCAGCACACUUACAAUAAAUUAUGAUUAAUUUAAGAUUGACUUCCAGUGUCCCUGUGUAAUCAUUUCCACGACAAACUCAUGCUUGUUUUCAUUGCAAAGGUUGCUUUUAUCACUUAUCGUAAAUCACGUGGUACAUUAGUCAUAAACAGGAGAGACAGAUCCGUUACUGUACUUAUGAUCAAGAACAGAUUUGUCAAGAAAGUGAAACACUAGAAUAACAAGCAUUCUGUUUGACACAAUGAACCUAGGAUACUUCACAUACUUUCAGCUUUAGUAUGAAGAUCAACAAGGAUAAGAUCAUCAUCCUUCAAGGUCAAAUCAACUUACUGAUAAAUGUUGUCAUGUUUCCACACAAGAGCCACAAAGAGGAGCAUUAUUGUGGCAGAAUACAAUGAGUUUGAAAAAUGCCCAAACUUGUUUAAGUUCAACAUCAGUUGACUUAUCUUUAUAUAUAUAUAUAUACAGUGGGGCAAAAAAGUAUUUAGUCAGCCACCAAUUGUGCAAGUUCCCCCACUUAAAAAGAUGAGAGAGGCCUGUCAUUUUCAUCAUAGGUACAGUUCAACUAUGACAGACAAAAUGGGGGGAAAAAAUCCAGAAAAUCACAAUGUAGGAUUCUUUAUGAAUUUAUUUGCAAAUUAUGGUGGAAAAUAAGUAUUUGGUCACCUACAAACAAGCAAGAUUUCUGGCUCUCACAGACCUGUAACCUUCAUUCUAGUGAAGGUUCUAGUCAGGAGGAAAAACCAACCAGAAGCCGUGAUGAUAUUGAUGAGAACCAACGACUGCUACCUGGUGAAGGUCUGUAUAUCAACCUCCCUCUCUAUAUUAAUUACACCCUUUCAGGUUGGUCAUCUAAAUGAGUAACUAAAGUUAGAUUUUUUUCAUUCAAAAGUAAAUAUGAAUUGGAAUUACAAUAAAUGCAUAUACACUGUUCAAAAAAUAAAGGGAACACUUAAACAACACAAUGUAACUCCAAGUCAAUCACACUUCUGUGAAAUCAAACUGUCCACUUAGGAAGCAAUACUGAUUGACAACAAAUUUCACAUGCUGUUGUGCAAAUGGAAUAGACAACAGGUGGAAAUUAUAGGCAAUUAGCAAGACACCCCCAAUAAAGGAGUGGUUCUGCAGGUGGUGACCACAGACCACUUCUCAGUUCCUAUGCUUCCUGGCUGAUGUUUUGGUCACUUUUGAAUGCUGGCGGUGCUUUCACUCUAGUGGUAGCAUGAGACGGAGUCUACAACCCACACAAGUGGCUCAGGUACUGCAGCUCAUCCAGGAUGGCACAUCAAUGCGAGCUGUGGCAAGAAGAUUUGCUGUGUCU
rnacentral:lncRNA from 13 species